ACUUGUCGCGUGAAACUGAGGCCACAGUUUCGAAAAUAUUUGUUAUCGAUCGUUUGACUGCUCUCAUGUCACGAAUACGGUUGUUCAGGUUUGCUUUCUUCCGAGUACUUUGAGGCGAGCUCGAGAGUGUAGGUGCUAAAUAUCAGCGUGAAAUAAAUGAGGUGAAAUUACUGGACAGCUCUGCUCGUAAUCGUCGACUUAGUUAGAGAAUAGCAGUGUUUAAGAAACUUGAGCAUUGCUAAUUUGUCGAGAGAAAUUUCGCUUGAAAGUCAAUACGGCUUAACGAACAAUGCCUGAGAGAAGAAAUAACGGGAACUGGAGAAAAGAACGUGGCAACGACGAAGCAGUGAAACUAUACGGAGUUGUCGUGCUACUAUGCACGAAAAUUAUAAUCACGAAAAUAAACAAAGGAUAUAAAUUCAACAAAAACGCAUGGUGUGUCGGAAAAUACUCACUGGCGAGCGUCGCAAGGGCAACUUUACUGAUGAGCGCAGUGCUGUAGGACAUAACGACACGUUUCCCCGAAGAUGCCAUUGCAAGUUGAAGUACAGAAAUCCCUACGAGAAUGGCCAGGAAUACGGAUGCAGAAGCCGCUGCUAUUCCGGCCGCCCAUACCGCUGCUGGAUUUGCAAAGAUCAAAAAUCAGAGAGAGAAAGAGAGAGAGAGAAAAAAACAGUCAACACGACGACGUUCACUUACUGACUGGCCGGAAUCUCGAACUUCCUUGUUCACACCUCUCACGUCCGUAUAGCAGUAACUUGCAUUGUCUCCAUGGACCGAAGUAACCAUUUUCGGCUGCAUUCCCAGCUAAAAUGUAGCCGAACAGAACAGUGAUUAACGUCCGAAAAAUUCUCUGUAUCACAACAUCGAUAUUAGGUUUACAAUUUUUUACGUUUCUACACAAAAGUGAUCGAAUUUCCAUGGAUGAUUUUACAAGAAUGUUCACUUGUUAAAAUUUUUUAUUUUGACAAUUUUAUUUUGUUAAUCUGCCCCGUAUAUUCUCGGAAUUAGUUUAAUUAUUGAGUGUAAAGUUAAUCUUAUUGGAAUAAAUAAAACCAACAAAUAAACUAGUUUUCAUUUUCCUGGUGCCUUCGGCAUUCAUUUGGACAUUGAAUGUACGAAAUG